rnacentral:rRNA from 1 species
UCGUCCUACGGGGGGCAGCAGUGAGGAAUAUUGGUCAAUGGUCGGGAGACUGAACCAGCCAAGCCGCGUGAGGGAGGAAGGUACAGAGUAUCGUAAACCUCUUUUGUCAGGGAACAAAGACUGGGACGCGUCCCCGGAUGAGUGUACCUGAAGAAAAAGCAUCGGCUAACUCCGUGCCAGCAGCCGCGGUAAUACGGAGGAUGCGAGCGUUAUCCGGAUUUACUGGGUGUAAAGGGAGCGUAGGCGGCUGUGUAAGCCAGAAGUGAAAGCCCGAGGCUCAACCAUGGGACUGCUUUUGGAACUAC